AUUGAACGCUGGCGGCAUGCCUUAUACAUGCAAGUCGAACGCCAGCACGGGUGAUUGCUACUGAUGGCGUGUGGCGCACGCGUGAGUAUUACAUCGGGACAUGUUCCGUUGUGGCGGGUAGCACGGCGAAGGCCGGAUUGCUACUGCCUCCUAACUACGUUAGAAACCGGGGGACCUUCUGACAUCGCCCAUUACAUUACUCCGAUGUCUGCUUACCUUGUUGUAGGGGUAAAGGCCUACCAAGGCACAGAACAGUAGCUGGUCUGAGCGGACGACCAGCCACACUGGAACUGAGAAACGGCCCAGACUCCUACGGGAGGCAGCGGUGGGGAAUUUUGGACAUGGGGCGAAGGCCUGAUCCAGCAAUGCCGCGUGUGGGAAGAAGGCCUUCGGGUGUUAAAGCACUUUUGUCCGGAAAGAAAUCCGUGGCCCUAAUACGGUCGGGGGAUGACGGUACCGGAAGAGUAAGCACCGGCUAACUACGUG
rnacentral:rRNA from 1 species